rnacentral:rRNA from 1 species
CUGGUAGUCCACGCUGUAAACGAUGUCGAUUUGGGGGUUGAACUUUAGGUUUGGCGCCCGUAGCUAACGUGAUAAAUCGACCGCCUGGGGAGUACGGCCGCAAGGUUAAAACUCAAAUGAAUUGACGGGGGCCCGCACAAGCGGUGGAGCAUGUGGUUUAAUUCGAUGCAACGCGAAGAACCUUACCUGGUCUUGACAUCCACGGAAGUUUUCAGAGAUGAGAAUGUGCCUUCGGGAACCGUGAGACAGGUGCUGCAUGGCUGUCGUCAGCUCGUGUUGUGAAAUGUUGGGUUAAGUCCCGCAACGAGCGCAACCCUUAUCCUUUGUUGCCAGCGGUCCGGCCGGGAACUCAAAGGAGACUGCCAGUGAUAAACUGGAGGAAGGUGGGGAUGACGUCAAGUCAUCAUGGCCCUUACGACCAGGGCUACACACGUGCUACAAUGGCGCAUACAAAGAGAAGCGACCUCGCGAGAGCAAGCGGACCUCAUAAAGUGCGUCGUAGUCCGGAUUGGAGUCUGCAACUCGACUCCAUGAAGUCGGAAUCGCUAGUAAUCGUGGAUCAGAAUGCCACGGUGAAUACGUUCCCGGGCCUUGUACACACCGCCCGUCACACCAUGGGAGUGGGUUGCAAAAGAAGUAGGUAGCUUAACCUUCGGGAGGGCGCUUACCACUUUGUGAUUCAUGACUGGGGUGAAGUCGUAACAAGGUAACCGUAGGGGAACCUGCGGUUG